GUGGAAUGGCAGAAGGCGAAAUCAAUCACCUAUCCAAACAUCACUGUUUGUUAUUCCAAAUAUUUUGACAAUCGAAAAAUGGCCAGAAUGAACAUAUCCAAUGACAUGGCGAAUUACAUGACUUUAGCUUUGGACUUUGGAGUAACCGAAUACAUCCAAUUCAUGAAAAAAAACAACGACUUCAGCGGUUUAUUGUUUGAAUCUAAGAUGGCUCAUUUAGAAUCAGAAUUGAACGAGAUACUCAAUUCCUCCAAAAUGUCAAUUCUGGAUUUAUUUCGAGAAGUGGCCAUCAGUUGCGACGACUUCAUUUCCUACUGCGAGGUUCACCGCGAAUUCUACGUCGCCACCGUCGCCACCGACAAUGGAGUUGGCUCUCAAGGAACAAAUCUCACCUCUCUGACUUGUUGCCAAGCAUUCUUCACUCAACCUCCAUUUUUCAAUCAAGGUGGAACUUGUUUCACUUCCCAGCGACCCAUCGUGGAAACGUAUCCAUCAAUGUUCAGCUCGCUUCGAAUUUGGCUUUCGGCUUCAGAGAGAUUCGCACCUGAGUUCGAUAUGCUAUUCAAGGGCUCAGAUGCAGCCGAGCGUCGAGGCGUCUCUUGGGCUUUAAGCACGAUGGACCAUCCGUCCCAGAUCUUGAGCGUUGCUCCUCAACGAGCUUCAAGAGGUUCAUUACAAAUCAUCGGAUUGGAAAAAAUCGAGGAAAGGAUAAGUUUUCCACAAUCUGAUCUAACCAUUAACUAACCUGUUUUUGUCUUUGCUUCCAGACCGAUAGAAGUGAACUGAACCGGGAACCUUGUUUGAGCUAUAAUCAAACGUUUCAAGAUUACUUUGGGCAUCCUAUAACACGGUUGAACUGUGAGGCUGCUCGUCUUCAACACUUUUACGCGAAUUGCAGUAUGUUGCCACUCUUUGGCUUCAAAGAAGCGCCUGGAUUUCCCCCGUGCCUUCCGAAGAGUCUUUUGAACGGAACCACUGGGAUCGAUCCUAAUACCGCCGAGAUGGUUUGUUCCUCAGAUUGUGAACGUACAGAUUUUCGACUUACCAUCUCAGUGGGUCCCUUGGACACAAAUGCCAUCAAAACCUUCUUCGAGACACAAAUUUCUAACCUGCUAAAAAUGAAGGGUUCCAUAGAGGGAAAUUUCACGGUUCCGCCCAUCUUUCAAGGACUGCAAAAUUCUGAAGACACAGUGGUUCUUUUCUUCUAUUUUAAGACUUUUGAUUAUGCCAGGAACCUAUUGAAUCAGGAGACCUUCCUCGAAUUUCUGUCUAAAGUGGGUGGCUGGAUGAGUUUGGCUAUAGGGGCUUCAAUAUUUUCCCUCUUUGAAAUCAUCUAUUUCUUACUAUCUCUUAUAAAAAUCGGCUGUCGACACGGCCUCAGAUUUGGCAGAUGAUUCCCACGUUUCGCUAAAGGAUGUCUAAAAGGUCCACUUUCACCCCGUGUCCUACCACUUUCAUUGUUAGAGUUUCCCAUGGAAAGGCAAUUGCUUUAAUGGCAGCACCUAUUAAAAAACUUUUGGAACUUUUGGUUUGCAAUGGGGCUGCUACAUCCUUCAGUUUGCAACAAGCGCAAUCCCAACUCAAGUGCUUAUUUGGGAGGUCUGAUAUCAUUUUUUUUGUGUGGGACAGAGAAUAUAAUCUUUAACAGAACGGC